rnacentral:lncRNA from 1 species
UUUUUUUUUGUUUUCUAGUGUUUCUUCUUUUGUUUCUUCUUUUGCUUCUUGUUCUUUAGAUGAUGAAUGGUAUGUUGCAUUUAUAUAGAAUUGUCUGAACAAAGUUGGAUAAAUAUUUGACAUUGUUCAAUGGAUAUUGAUCAAAUACCAAAAAGAUGGUGAAAGGUACAAGUAGCCUUUUGCUCUAGCAUGGCUCCCAGUUGAAAUUUAUGAGCUUUUUC